rnacentral:other from 23 species
AAGCAAGUUUCCACAACUGAGAAAACUCGUGCAACUUGGAACCCCGCCUGGUCUUUCCAGGUCUAGAGGGGUGACACUUUGCACGGUGCUCGACUCCACGCCCGGUCCACUGGCGGGUGUUAGUAGCAGCACUGUUGUUUCGUAGCGGAGCAUGGUGGCCGUGGGAACUCCCCCUUGGAGACAAGGACCCGCGGGGCCAAAAGCCACGUCCGGACGGACCCACCAUGUGUGCAACCCCAGCACGGCAACUUUACUGCGAACGCCACCUUAAGGUGACACUGGUACUGGUACUCGGUCACUGGUGACAGGCUAAGGAUGCCCUUCAGGUACCCCGAGGUAACACGGGACACUCGGGAUCUGAGAAGGGGAUUUGGGACUUCUCUAAAAGUGCCCAGUUUAAAAAGCUUCUAUGCCUGAAUAGGCGACCGGAGGCCGGCGCCUUUCUACUACCCACUACUAAAUC